rnacentral:tRNA from 1 species
GGGCCGGUAGCUCAAUGGCUAGAGCGCCUCAGUCGCAUUGAGGAGGUUGAGAGUUCGAAUCUCUUCCGGUCCA